rnacentral:rRNA from 1 species
UACGUAGGGGGCAAGCGUUGUCCGGAAUCAUUGGGCGUAAAGCGCGUGUAGGCGGCUCGGUAAGUCCGCUCUGAAAGCCCGGGGCUCAACCCCGGGAGGCGGGUGGAUACUGCUGAGCUCGAGUCCGGAAGAGGAGUGUGGAAUUCCUGGUGUAGCGGUGAAAUGCGCAGAUAUCAGGAGGAACACCAAUGGCGAAGGCAGCACUCUGGGACGGUACUGACGCUGAGACGCGAAAGCGUGGGAGCAAACAGG